rnacentral:rRNA from 1 species
AGUGAACGCUGGCGGUAGGCCUAACACAUGCAAGUCGAACGGCAGCACAGUAAGAGCUUGCUCUUACGGGUGGCGAGUGGCGGACGGGUGAGGAAUACAUCGGAAUCUACUUUUUCGUGGGGGAUAACGUAGGGAAACUUACGCUAAUACCGCAUACGACCUACGGGUGAAAGCAGGGGAUCUUCGGACCUUGCGCGAUUGAAUGAGCCGAUGUCGGAUUAGCUAGUUGGCGGGGUAAAGGCCCACCAAGGAGACGAUCCGUAGCUGGUCUGAGAGGAUGAUCAGCCACACUGGAACUGAGACACGGUCCAGGCGCCUACGGGAGGCAGCAGUGGGGAAUAUUGGACAAUGGGCGCAAGCCUGGUCCAGCCAUACCGCGUGGGUGAAGGAGGCCUUCGGGUUGUAAAGCCCUUUUGUUGGGAAAAAAAAGCAGCAGGUUAAUACCCCGCUGUUCUGACGGUACCCAAAGAAUAAGCACCGGCUAACUUCGUG